rnacentral:lncRNA from 1 species
GCGGCCUCGGGGCACGGCGGGCCCAGGCCGGAGGAGCUUUCGGUGGCGCGACCCCGCUGGCAUGCUCCCGGCCUCGGCCUCGGCCUCGGCCUUGGCCUCCGGGCCUCCAGCGCACGCGGGGCGUCCAGGGCCUCAUCUUCCCCUGGGGACCGCCCGGCCGUGUCCCGCUGCCCUCGGCGCAGGGGUGGGAGUUGCAGAGAGGAAGAGUCGCUAACCCGGAGUGUUUCUUAAAACUUGGCUGACCUGUGACCUGCGGAUUUGGAGGCUGAAUUCUCCGAGCACCUGAAGCUACUGCAGGAUAUAAUCUAAGAAAAUAAGGGGAAGAAAACAAGAAAGAGGAAGACAUUGGAUCCAAGAAAUGGGGGAUCUAUCACCUUACAGAUGAAAAGAGAAUCUACAUGAUCUUUGUGAAGAUAUGACCUUGGGACUUGCUUUAGCCAGUGGAAUGGAAGCAGAAGUAACCUGUAAUUUCCAGGGUCUCCCUCUGUCACCCAGGCUGGAAUGCACAAUCGUGGUUUACUGCAGCCUCAACCUCCUGGGCUCAAGUGAUCUUAAUACUUCAGCCUCCUGAGUAGCUGGGACCACAGGUGCACACCACCACACCUGGCUUAUUUUAAAAUUUUUUUUCUAGAGACAGGGUCUCGCUAUGCUGCCCAAGCUAGUCUUGAAUUUCUGGUCUCAAGCAAUCCUUCUGCCUUAGCCUCCCAAAGUGCUGGGAUUACAAAAGUGAGCCAGCAUGCCCUGCCUGCAUUACUUUUUGUAAUGUUUAUUGCCGUGGAAAAUCACUGACAACUUGAAUCAGGUUGUAUUUGUUACUAUGAGACUCUUAAAUUAUCUGAACCGUAUGGUUGGAAACAAUGAUUUCUAGAACUAGCAUCAGCUUUCAAGGUUUGUUGAUGGAAGAGAGUACUUAAGCUAAUAAAUGUAACUUGUUAAAUGAAACGGGAAACAUCAAAAUGCAGCUAAGCAUUAAGAAAAUGAAAGAGAAAAGUUUCCCUAGGAGAGAAGAAAUUAAUGAAAUGUGUAUCUUAAUGUAUCCCUGAAGAUGGUAUUUCUGCAACAUACUGAAUUGAGGGUGAAUUUACUAGUUUAUGGAGCGGGGUGGGGCGGGGGGGGAUCUGGUUCUUUUCUCCACUUGUGCUGUGCUGACUUGUUUCGUAUGUGUUUUGGAUACAUGUGGUGAUAGCAACCUGUUAGUCUCUGGUAAAACCCAGUCCAAAGAUAUGUGAAGCCUGGACACGUGAGGCUGAAUAAGGAUGUCCUAGAGCCAUGAAAUACAUUAACAUUGUUGGGCAGUUAUGGCAACGGAAAAACAGUGUUAAUAUAGGGAGUAAGUAGGCACUUUAUAGGCAAAGAGGACAUGCCUUUUCUGUAUGCAACGAGCUUUGCAAAUUCUAACUCCACCCUAAUUAUAACUGCCUUGUUCUCAUGAAGUUCACUGUCAGCAACUGUUUAUUCACCAGGUACAAUAUUAUGCAUAAUACACUGGGCUGAGAACUGUGAGGGAUACAAUUUGGAAAGACAGGGCCCCUGGUCUUAAGAUGCCAUUGAAAAGCACAGACUGUGUUCGGGAAUCAGUAAGUCCAGUGUGUAGAUGACAGCGUUAGUGGGGAAAAAUGGAAUACAGAGUUGAAAGGUGUAUUGGAGCCAGAUUGUUAGGUUUUUGAAUGCAAAAUUUAUAUGUUAGGAUGCUAUUAUUUGGAAAGUGGGGACUUACUCAAUUUUUUUUAACAUUAAAAGAAAAUAAUCAAA